UAUAAAAUUAACAUCAUCCGAUCCCUAGUCGGCAUAGUUUAUGGUUAAGACUACGACGGUAUCUGAUCGUCUUCGAUCCCCUAACUUUCGUUCUUGAUUAAUGAAAACAUCCUUGGCAAAUGCUUUCGCAGUAGUUAGUCUUCAAUAAAUCCAAGAAUUUCACCUCUGACAAUUGAAUACUAAUGCCCCCAACUAUCCCUAUUAAUCAUUACGUCGAUCCUAGAAACCAACAAAAUAGGGUCAAACGUCCUAUUUCAUUAUUCCAUGCUAAUGUAUUCAAGCGUGAGCCUGCUUUAAACACUCUAAUUUUUUCAAAGUAACAGUCCUGAUUCCCCGCGACACCAAAUUAAUGACAUCACGGUUCUUCAGAAGGGAGAAACCAGUGACACCAGUGCAUACCAAAGGCAUGACCAGCGUACUGAUCCCGAAAUUCAACUACGAGCUUUUUAACUGCAACAACUUUAAUAUACGCUAUUGGAGCUGGAAUUACC
rnacentral:rRNA from 1 species